AACGUAGGAGGCGAGCGUUAUCCGGAUUUACUGGGCGUAAAGCGCAGGCAGGUGGUGGCUUAAGUCAUGCGUGAAAGCUCCUGGCUCAACUGGGAGAGGUCGUGUGAAACUGGGUCACUGGAGGCAGGUAGAGGCAGACGGAAUUCCGGGUGGAGUGGUGAAAUGCGUAGAGAUCCGGAGGAACACCAGUGGCGAAGGCGGUCUGCUGGACCUGACCUGACACUCAGAUGCGAAAGCAUGGGGAGCGAACGGG
rnacentral:rRNA from 1 species